UUUGCUUCAGAAAAUUCAGACCUUUUACAAAGGCUAGGUUUCGCUUGAAGAAGGGUUGCAGCUCGGAUCUCGCACGCGAAGCCUCUUUCCACCAUUCCACAAGAAUUUUUUAGGAUCCCAGCGGUUGAGCUUGGGAUUUUGCUCCCCACCCAAGAUGCAUCCACAUUCAGCUUCAGGUUUGAGUUUGUUGGGGACAACCAUUUCGUGUCUUCCUUUCUUGAUUUGGUUUUUGAUCUGCUGUUUUGUGGGUUCCAUUUGAGGUAUGUGAUGGCUUGAGCUCUUGCCUCUUCUAGUAUGGCUAUGGGAUUCGGCUAAAGUCCUCGGAAGAUCGCGUUGUUCCUCGCUUUCCACAUAAACUAGAGUAUCGUUGCGACUUCCUCUACUGUAGGUGAGGUUUCGGUAGCUGUCCUUGGAGUUCAACUGCUAUCUUCAAAGAGAUCCGACAGCCACUUGUCUGCUCUAGGGACAUUUUGUAGGCUGUUAAAACUUUGCAAAGUUGGAUCCGACCAUAUUCCUCCUGUCCAGCGGCAUGAGAAGAGCAAGUGUUCAAUUGUCUUAGGGUAUUUGGAGCAGAGUGGACAUAUUGGGUCCGGUUAAUCGCUCCAUAGAAAGCCUCCCAAUGUGGACUUUUUUCUCUUACUUGAGCCUUCAGCCAAGAAGGAGAAAACUUAUUGUUAAAAGUCAGGUUUACAACUUGCUUUGAAGGGAGCUCUUGGGGGAGAGUGUCGCCGAGAUGCUACAACCAAAGCCCGAAAGGAACUCUUGUGGAUGACAGGGUAGGUUCCUGUGAAAAGUUUGGAUUUGUCCAACCGCUUAAUGGAACAGUGCCACCAACCCAAGUCGAAGUCUUGAUGCACCCUAGCCUUGGUUCUGGAAUGAGUAGCUCGGCUGAAUUUUGGAGACUUCCUUUCCAACUGAGAUCAUGAUGCGCCCUAACCAUAGAAGCAGAUGGUCUUGUUGCAGUUCAGAGGAAGAAGUAGUGGGUAUUCAUAAGUUAGGGUUUGGGAUUUUGAGGAGUUAUAGGUUUUUGGGGAAGAAAAGGUUUCCCUUUUUUGAAGAGGAUGAUGCUAUCCUCCAUUGUAAUGUAGCUAAAAGAGAUUUCAGGG